rnacentral:lncRNA from 1 species
GGCAAUGGCGGGCGCCCCUCCCCCAGCCUCGCUGCCGCCUUGCAGUUUGAUCUCAGACUGCUGUGCUAGCAAUCAGCGAGACUCCCUGGGGUAGGACCCUCCGAGCCAGGUGCGGGAGAUAGUCUCCUGGUGCGAGGAUUUUUAAGCCGGUCGGAAAAGCGCAGUAUUCGGGUGGGAGUGACCCGAUUUUCCAGACAGGUGAAGACAGAACAAGAAAACAAACCAAGAAUUUCCCCUCACCAGCCACCAGCUCUGCCAGCAACUUGAUCUUAGACUUCCCAGCCUCCGUAACGCCUCUGCUUAUAAUCUGUCAUGGAUUGGAAAACUAGAAAAAACAGUUUACAGAGUAUAACAAACUUUGGAGGAGUUAAUCGACUCUAAGUAAAAGAGUAUCUAGCACGGCUGUGGAACAAAGGAGAGACUCACAAACUGUUGAAAGAAUAAAUGAAUGAAUGAAUUCUGUUCAUGAGCUUUAAUAAAACAGCUCUGAGUAGUAACAGUGGAUCAAAUUUAGGCUUCUUGAUGCAGGCAUGGUGUAGAUUACUACUUCUGUAUUGUCCCAGGAGCUCAGCACAUUCCUGCAGAGAUGAUAGGAGCUCAUCUGAUACUUGUCAGCUUUGAAUAAACUCCAGUCCCCAAGAGAGAGAAUGAGAAUCACCGGAAUACGAAACUUCCCUGUUGGACUUCCCAACAUUCUUGAAUGCACCAAGAUAGCCUCUUGCUGUGAGAUUAAUAAAUGAAUAAAUGCCUCCAUAUUUUU